GAAAUGCGAUACGUAAUGUGAAUUGCAGAAUUCAGUGAAUCAUCGUGUCUUUGAAUGCACAUUGCGCCCUCUGGUAUCCCGGGGGGCAUGCCUGUCCGAGCGUCAUUGCUGCCCUCAAGCACGGCUUGUGUGUUGGGCCCCCCCCGUCCCGGUUCUCCAGCCGGGUCGGGCCCGAAAGGCAGCGGCGGCACCGUAUCCGGUCCUCGAGUGUAUGGGGCCCUGUCACCCACUCGUGUAGGCCCGGCCGGCGGCCCGCCUCUUCAAACAAACUUCUUUAACCAGGUUGACCUCGGAUCAGGUAGGGAGAACCGCUGAACUUAA
rnacentral:misc_RNA from 1 species